UACGUAGGGGGCAAGCGUUGUCCGGAAUCAUUGGGCGUAAAGCGCGCGUAGGCGGCCCGGUAAGUCCGCUGUGAAAGUCAAAGGCUCAACCUUUGAAUGUCAGCGGAUACUGCCGGGCUAGAGUCCGGAAGAGGCGAGUGGAACUCCUGGUGUAGCGGUGGAAUGCGCAGAUAUCAGGAAGAACACCAACGGCGAAGGCAGCUCGCUGGGACGGAACUGACGCUGAGGCGCGAGAGCGCGGGGAGCGAACCGG
rnacentral:rRNA from 1 species